AUGAACGCUGGCGGCGUGCCUAAUACAUGCAAGUCGAACGAAUCUUCUUCGGAAGAUGAGUGGCGAACGGGUGAGUAAUACAUAGGUAACCUGCCCCUGUGCGGGGGAUAACAGGAGGAAACUCCUGCUAGUACCGCAUAGCCAUGAGCACCGCAUGGAGCUCAUGCCAAAUAUCCUUCAGGGGAUAGCGCAGGGAUGGACCUAUGGCGCAUUAGCUAGUUGGCGGGGCAACGGCCCACCAAGGCAACGAUGCGUAGCCGGCCUGAGAGGGCGGACGGCCACAUUGGGACUGAGACACGGCCCAGACUCCUACGGGAGGCAGCAGUAGGGAAUUUUCGGCAAUGGGGGAAACCCUGACCGAGCAACGCCGCGUGAGCGAAGAAGGCCUUCGGGUCGUAAAGCUCUGUUGUAAAGGAAGAACGUCGCAUGCAGGAAAUGGUGUGCGAGUGACGGUACUUUACCAGAAAGCCACGGCUAACUACGUGCCAGCAGCCGCGGUAAUACGUAGGUGGCGAGCGUUAUCCGGAAUCAUUGGGCGUAAAGAGGGAGCAGGCGGCCGCAAGGGUCUGUGGUGAAAGACCGAAGCUAAACUUCGGUAAGCCAUGGAAACCGGGCGGCUAGAGUGCGGAAGAGGAUCGUGGAAUUCCAUGUGUAGCGGUGAAAUGCGUAGAUAUAUGGAGGAACACCAGUGGCGAAGGCGACGGUCUGGGCCGCAACUGACGCUCAUUCCCGAAAGCGUGGGGAGCAAAUAGGAUUAGAUACCCUAGUAGUCCACGCCGUAAACGAUGGUCACUAAGUGUCGGGGGUCAAACCCCGGUGCUGCAGUCAACGCAAUAAGUGACCCGCCUGAGUAGUACGUUCGCAAGAAUGAAACUCAAAUGAAUUGACGG
rnacentral:rRNA from 1 species